rnacentral:rRNA from 1 species
UACGGAGGGUGCAAGCGUUAAUCGGAAUUACUGGGCGUAAAGCGUGCGUAGGCUGCUGCUUAAGUCAGAUGUGAAAGCCCCGGGCUUAACCUGGGAACGGCAUUUGAUACUGGGCAGCUCGAGUUGAGUAGAGGAGAGGGGAAUUUCCGGUGUAGCGGUGAAAUGCGUAGAGAUCGGAAGGAACACCAGUGGCGAAGGCGCCUCUCUGGACUCAAACUGACGCUGAGGUACGAAAGCGUGCGUAGCAAACAGU